AUUAAUUUUCUAAAAGAGCAGGAAUAAAAUUUUAUAUUUUAUUCCAAUUUGUUGGAUUUUCAAAAACAAUUUUGUUAGUUACUGCAAUUAUGUGAUUAUUUGAUUUAAUUGUGGUACAUGUUAAAUGAGCAAUUUUAUUUGUUUAUUUUAUGUCCGAUUGAGUAGUUAGAUAUUUUGUUUAUUAGACUUUUUAUAAAUCAAAGGUUUGUUUUAUUUGAGCCCAAAAGUUUUAUCAAAUUUAAAUUACUCAAAGUAUUCAAAUUUUGGUAUUUUUUCUAAUUCUGUCGGGUUCAAAUAUAUUAAAAUCUCGCAAAUGAUUAUUUUAAUUAUUUCCCAUUUGAAAGUGAUUUGGAGCAUUAUCUGUGAGAAAUAUUAACUUUUCUAUAUAUUGUGUCUUCGAUGAUGGUAUUAUUUUUAGAGAAUUGUACUUUUAAAAUUGGGAAUAAAUUUUGGGACUCUUAAAUUAUUUUUAUUGCUAAGAGAGCUUUUUAUUUAAAAAGUGGGGGCCUGAUUUUGUUAAAUAUAUAUAGCUUUCUAAAAACCUUUUAGUUUAUAAAAUCAGUUUAUAAACAGUCGGUGCAAUACAGAUUGGGGAUCGAGAGCAAAACUAGGGUUCCUCUCUUCCCUUCGAUUUUAAUAGAUAAUCGAUUAAAUCUGGUAUAUACAGGUGAGAAUCGUGUGUAUCUCGUAUGUGUGUAUUCAUAUAUAAUUGUUGUAUGCUUGAAUCGGAGUGGGUGAUGGUGUGGGGCGGCGAUGGAUGGAGGUGAGAAGUCGGCGGAAGAGCGGCGGAAAGAUGUAGUCGGAGCAGAGUCAAUCGUGGUAACUUGGAGGAGUUGUCUAUCGGAGUUUCGUGGGUGGCUGCAGGAGAGGCACAACUGCCGAUAUUGUUUGAUGGCGGUGCGUGCAAACAGAUGGGGCGGCGUCGGUGUUCUGAAAUCGGAGAUACCGACUCCGACUUGACAAGUCGAUCUGUGUUGUGGGUUGAAGUGGUUGUGUUGGUCGAAGUCGGGUUGUGGCCGGCGGUGGUCGUAGCUCAAUCAACAGUCGAGGCUGAGAGAGGGGAAAAGAGAUUGUUUUUCGGUGUGUUUGUGAAUAGAGAAGUAAUUGUUGGCUUGGGGUGAUUGAAGUGAUGAGCUAAUGGUUGAAGGUGGGUUCAGUUAGAGGGAUGGCUGUGGUUUUGAAUUAAAUGGUGAUUGGGAAGAUUAACAGAGGUGAAUAGAAGGGGUUGGACUGGAAUGGAUUGGAAUUUGGCAAAGUCUGGUGGUUCCGGUUUUUUUGACAAGGUUUCUAAUGGUGAGUGGUGGUGCCGCCGCGUGUAUGAAGACAAGGAGCUGUGUUCGGGUUGUAGAAUCGGUGUUGUAAUUUGUUUGUGUGAGUUGUGCUAGGAUGAAAGUGGUAGAUGAAGGAGGGUGUGGUAUUACAGUUGUGGAAUCAUUGAGAACUACCGGAGUGGCACUACCGGGCGGCAAAACUACUGAUGUGAUUAAGUGAGCCGCAAAGAUGGUUCUGAUUGAUGGUUCCAUGUCUGUUUUGUGGUUCUGUCAAGUGUGUGUACAAGCAGAUUAGGUGCGUAAACAGAUUGAAUAGGCUUUUGCAAUGUGUUAGCAGGGCUGCUGGUCUGAAAUCAAAGAAAGAAAGGAAAGGUGGUUGGUGUUGCAUGUCAAGGGAGCCUGCAGGGGCGGUUCUGCGUGAAAGAAAGUGUAGGAUUGGGGACUGAAUUAUAAGCAGUUGGGAGUACAAGCAUAGAAGUCGGAGGUUGGGGAGAAUUGGGUGAUUGUUGGUGAUGAUUGGUGUCCACCGGAACUGAUUGCAGCGCUACCUUGUAGUUCAGAGAUAGUAUGUCUUGGCAGCAGACUGGUGUAUGUUGCGAUGGUGUAUGCUUGUAUGAGUUGGAAUUUAGUUGAGGUAAAGGACUGAGUUGAGACAGGGGAGGCUGUAGAAGGAUGUGGUGGUGAUAGUUGGAGUGGAUUCAUAUGGCCAGAAAUUCGGCUAUGGCUUACGGAUCCGAGUCGGAUCGAGAGAUGGAUGUUUUAUUAAUUAAUUAUGUAUUAUUAAAUUAUUAUUAAUAUCUGUAUUAUUGUUAUUAUCAGUUCAAUUGAUAAUGACAAUGAUAAGUGAUAUUUUUAAUAAUCUUAAUGAUCAAUAAUUGAUUAAACUAAUUUCUAUUUCUGUUCCGAGUAAUGGUGAAUAAAGUCGAUCGAGACACGUGCAUCCAACAACUUCAGAAGCAAGCGAUAUUGUGCCGUAAGAUAGUACUGUAGAAUAUAAUCAUUGAAGAAAAUAGCAAUGUUGAGGCCAGUAUAGAAACCUCGAGUAGAGUGACCGAGUUGUCACCUGUUUUUCUAUCAGAGGCAAGUAUUCCUAUUCCUCUCUUCUAUUUAAAAAGCAAUUAUUUCAAUUCUCUUUUGAUAAUACAAGUUUUAUAUUUAUGACUUGUACUUCCUGCAAGCAUGAUUAUCGAUUUCUGAUAUUUAAAAGUGCAAAUGCUUUCACGUGUUAUCUUGUGAUUGAAAAUAUCGAAUAUCUUUAGUUCGAUACUUUUUACUGUUAUAUGAACAGUGACUACUUUAUUUGAAAAGUAUUCUGAUUAUUUUAAUCAGUUUUCUGGAAAUUAUUGUCUGAGUUCUUUUACAGUUUGAACUGUUAUUGACACUGUAGUAGUGUUAUAUUGAUACUACAAUAUAUGCCUGGUCUUCUGUCCCAGACAUAAACCCUGGAUUUUUUAAAUAGCGAAAAUAGUUGUUUUGAUUCCUUUGAGCCGCAUUGCGGUGGAUUUUAAAACUAUACUCAGACUUUGAUGAAAUUGAUUUUGACAGCAUUUUGAAUUUGAAAACGGAAGAGUUUUCAGAAAGGUUUUGAAGGAUGAUAUUAUGGCAUAUGGGGCUAUUUAAUACUCCAGCCAAAUAGACCAGCAAAAUAUUGUUUUAAAAAUAGAUGAUUAGUCAUCUGCUUCUGGAAGAAAUCGGAAGAUUUCUUUGUUUUUGCGUAAGAGACCGGGACGGCGGUCCAGCGGAGGGCUAUCUAGGUAUUAUUGAAAUAUGAUAAUACUUUUCUGCCAAAGGCCAAUGUGUUGCCUUGUAUUGGUACCUGUUUUGAGACAUGCUUCUACGAAGUAUUGACUCGGUAUUAUCACACGGACUGAUCAGCUGUGAUAGUAUGCCGUUGUUUAAAACCUGGUCAUUAUUAUUUAAGCUUAUGAUAGCUUAUGUUUACUGUCAAAUUUAUCUGGUAAUUUUCAAGCAUAUUGAUUUAUAUGUUUGAUAUACUUUUGAGUUACAACUCUUCAGAUUAUUUUAGAAAUUGUUUUAUUUUAAAUACUCUGAUUUAAUUCAAAAGAAAUUAUAUCUUGUGGCUCUUGCCUUUUAUAUUAUCUUGCUGAGCAUUUUCGCUCACUCUUGCUAUUAUUUCUAACCCUUUCAGCUAGGGAUUAAGAAGGUAACCUGCAUAAACUGCGCGUAAGACUUAUGCUAGGCGAGAUUUCCAGGGAGAUGUCUGUGAGAAUGGCUAUGGUUAGAGUUGAUUUAUUUCAAUUCAGUUGUAGAUUGAUUUAUUUAUUUGGUUAUCAGUUACUCUUCUUAUCGAGGUUUAACUGAUAAUGUAGUUUAAGUUGUAAUAAGAUUUGAUAGUUUGGUUUCUGAUUUCGAUACUAUAACCUAUUAGCGAUCCUAUUUUUAGGGGGUCAAAGUGAUUUUGAUUUAAAUCCUUUUUAAAAUAUCCAGAUUUUCAAAUAUCUGUUUUACCUUCUUCCGCAAAAUACAGGUUUUUAAAUGAUUUUCUUUUAGUGGCACCAAAUCCAGACCCCCGGAUUUGAGGGAUGUCACAGUUGGUAUCAGAGCUAUAGGUUAUAAGUUAUUGAAAUCAGAAUGUAGAUUUUGAUUAGAGAUGUGUUUAGUGAAACCUCAUGUAGAGGUAAGUCAAGACUAUUGGGUAUAGUCUUUGUUGAUGGAACUGAGAUUGAGAUUGGAGUAAUGAUUCUGAGUAAUCAUUUUGGUAUAUCCUAGUUUUGCAAUUGUAGAAACAGUGAUUUGGACAUAAGGAGUCACGUGAUAAGGCAUCUUUAGUUUCACAUCUUUUAGAGUUUGAGAUUGACUUUCUAAGUAACCUGUGCCAGCUAGACUCGUGGAAGAACCUGUCUAGUCUAGAAUGUUUCUUACUAUCCUUGCCACUUCUAGAGUAUUGUAUAGAGGUUAGUCCAUUAUUUCAUAUGGAGUUGGUAUAAGGAGAUUGAGAUUUGUUGGGUCAGAAUGAGAAUACCUGGGGAUAGUACUUGACUUCAGAGUUUAUAUAGAUUUUAUGUUAGGCUAUUUGAUAUAGUACUAUGAGUAGGCUAUAACGUCAACGCUCUACAAUGAUGAUUGUAUAAAGUUGAAGAUAGCUUUUGACCGUGCCAAGCUGGAUAGAUUUUUACUAAAGUGGAUAGAGGUGAUGGAAUCUUUGGAGUCGAAUACGAAUCAGCCAGAAUAUUAGAAUAUUGAGAAGAAUUGUUGGAAUCGAAAUGAGUCAUCAAAGGAGUCAAUCAAGAAGACAUAUGUGAUAAUAUUGGCAAUACCUUCCUCAUACUUUAUUAUAUUGAUUAUCUUUCCCAUCAAUAAUUUGUUUUAACAUCUCUUUUAUAAAGAUGUUUAUUAAAAAGCUUAUAAUACUCUCUUGUGUUUACCCAUAUUUUGGGUUUGAAUUGUGACAGAGGCUAACAUGAUACCUAUUUUUAGGUUGUGGAAGCCCUGUCGAGUUUGUGAAAAUUCAAUUUUAUUUUUUCAAAAUGGUGAAUGAUUCUAUUUUAAUAUAUCACCAUUUACUCGUUGUGUAUAAAUAUCCUUUUUGGUUAUUCUUUUUCUCCGGAAUAACACAUUUGGAAAUUAUUCAAUUUUGAUCCCAGAUGUGCAUCAGAUUUUAAUUCGUCAGCAAACAUUGAUCAAUUAUAUUAUAUUGAAAUUCCUUUCAUAUUUAUUUUCUCCAACUGAGAUGAACAACCCUAUUCAUAGGGGACACAAGAACUUUCUGUCUGUGUGAUAGAUAUUUGAUGGGACGCCAUCACUUGUGUGUUGUGCAUUACAAGAAGGCUAACUACCUUUAGUAGUUUCUUUAUUUAGAUACGCAACAUAGUUCUCUAGAUCAUUUUGAUCUCUCAGCAUUUCUCUAUUUCAUAUCAGUUUGUUUUCGAAACUCAUACAUAUGACAUGUCCUUUGAUAUCUUAAAUCUAAUAUGUUUUUAGAUCGAUGAUUCUUAUUUGUCAAUUAAUUCUGAGGGUAUGCCAGUCAAAUUUGAAUGAGCUAAUACUGCCAGUACAUUUCAAGAUUUGGUAUAGAGCUACAAUUACAAAAGCAGAUCACGAUGCGACUUGCAAGAAGAAGUAUGCUUUCGUUCUUUCUUCGCGGAUUCCGAGGACGGAAUCCUUAUAAGGGGGGAAGUAUGUGACGACUCGGAAAUUUUUAUAGUAUUUUAUUAAAUUGUUAUUAAUUUUCUAAAAGAGCAGGAAUAAAAUUUUAUAUUUUAUUCCAAUUUGUUGGAUUUUCAAAAACAAUUUUGUUAGUUACUGCAAUUAUGUGAUUAUUUGAUUUAAUUGUGGUACAUGUUAAAUGAGCAAUUUUAUUUGUUUAUUUUAUGUCCGAUUGAGUAGUUAGAUAUUUUGUUUAUUAGACUUUUUAUAAAUCAAAGGUUUGUUUUAUUUGAGCCCAAAAGUUUUAUCAAAUUUAAAUUACUCAAAGUAUUCAAAUUUUGGUAUUUUUUCUAAUUCUGUCGGGUUCAAAUAUAUUAAAAUCUCGCAAAUGAUUAUUUUAAUUAUUUCCCAUUUGAAAGUGAUUUGGAGCAUUAUCUGUGAGAAAUAUUAACUUUUCUAUAUAUUGUGUCUUCGAUGAUGGUAUUAUUUUUAGAGAAUUGUACUUUUAAAAUUGGGAAUAAAUUUUGGGACUCUUAAAUUAUUUUUAUUGCUAAGAGAGCUUUUUAUUUAAAAAGUGGGGGCCUGAUUUUGUUAAAUAUAUAUAGCUUUCUAAAAACCUUUUAGUUUAUAAAAUCAGUUUAUAAACAGUCGGUGCAAUACAGAUUGGGGAUCGAGAGCAAAACUAGGGUUCCUCUCUUCCCUUCGAUUUUAAUAGAUAAUCGAUUAAAUCUGGUAUAUACAGGUGAGAAUCGUGUGUAUCUCGUAUGUGUGUAUUCAUAUAUAAUUGUUGUAUGCUUGAAUCGGAGUGGGUGAUGGUGUGGGGCGGCGAUGGAUGGAGGUGAGAAGUCGGCGGAAGAGCGGCGGAAAGAUGUAGUCGGAGCAGAGUCAAUCGUGGUAACUUGGAGGAGUUGUCUAUCGGAGUUUCGUGGGUGGCUGCAGGAGAGGCACAACUGCCGAUAUUGUUUGAUGGCGGUGCGUGCAAACAGAUGGGGCGGCGUCGGUGUUCUGAAAUCGGAGAUACCGACUCCGACUUGACAAGUCGAUCUGUGUUGUGGGUUGAAGUGGUUGUGUUGGUCGAAGUCGGGUUGUGGCCGGCGGUGGUCGUAGCUCAAUCAACAGUCGAGGCUGAGAGAGGGGAAAAGAGAUUGUUUUUCGGUGUGUUUGUGAAUAGAGAAGUAAUUGUUGGCUUGGGGUGAUUGAAGUGAUGAGCUAAUGGUUGAAGGUGGGUUCAGUUAGAGGGAUGGCUGUGGUUUUGAAUUAAAUGGUGAUUGGGAAGAUUAACAGAGGUGAAUAGAAGGGGUUGGACUGGAAUGGAUUGGAAUUUGGCAAAGUCUGGUGGUUCCGGUUUUUUUGACAAGGUUUCUAAUGGUGAGUGGUGGUGCCGCCGCGUGUAUGAAGACAAGGAGCUGUGUUCGGGUUGUAGAAUCGGUGUUGUAAUUUGUUUGUGUGAGUUGUGCUAGGAUGAAAGUGGUAGAUGAAGGAGGGUGUGGUAUUACAGUUGUGGAAUCAUUGAGAACUACCGGAGUGGCACUACCGGGCGGCAAAACUACUGAUGUGAUUAAGUGAGCCGCAAAGAUGGUUCUGAUUGAUGGUUCCAUGUCUGUUUUGUGGUUCUGUCAAGUGUGUGUACAAGCAGAUUAGGUGCGUAAACAGAUUGAAUAGGCUUUUGCAAUGUGUUAGCAGGGCUGCUGGUCUGAAAUCAAAGAAAGAAAGGAAAGGUGGUUGGUGUUGCAUGUCAAGGGAGCCUGCAGGGGCGGUUCUGCGUGAAAGAAAGUGUAGGAUUGGGGACUGAAUUAUAAGCAGUUGGGAGUACAAGCAUAGAAGUCGGAGGUUGGGGAGAAUUGGGUGAUUGUUGGUGAUGAUUGGUGUCCACCGGAACUGAUUGCAGCGCUACCUUGUAGUUCAGAGAUAGUAUGUCUUGGCAGCAGACUGGUGUAUGUUGCGAUGGUGUAUGCUUGUAUGAGUUGGAAUUUAGUUGAGGUAAAGGACUGAGUUGAGACAGGGGAGGCUGUAGAAGGAUGUGGUGGUGAUAGUUGGAGUGGAUUCAUAUGGCCAGAAAUUCGGCUAUGGCUUACGGAUCCGAGUCGGAUCGAGAGAUGGAUGUUUUAUUAAUUAAUUAUGUAUUAUUAAAUUAUUAUUAAUAUCUGUAUUAUUGUUAUUAUCAGUUCAAUUGAUAAUGACAAUGAUAAGUGAUAUUUUUAAUAAUCUUAAUGAUCAAUAAUUGAUUAAACUAAUUUCUAUUUCUGUUCCGAGUAAUGGUGAAUAAAGUCGAUCGAGACACGUGCAUCCAACAACUUCAGAAGCAAGCGAUAUUGUGCCGUAAGAUAGUACUGUAGAAUAUAAUCAUUGAAGAAAAUAGCAAUGUUGAGGCCAGUAUAGAAACCUCGAGUAGAGUGACCGAGUUGUCACCUGUUUUUCUAUCAGAGGCAAGUAUUCCUAUUCCUCUCUUCUAUUUAAAAAGCAAUUAUUUCAAUUCUCUUUUGAUAAUACAAGUUUUAUAUUUAUGACUUGUACUUCCUGCAAGCAUGAUUAUCGAUUUCUGAUAUUUAAAAGUGCAAAUGCUUUCACGUGUUAUCUUGUGAUUGAAAAUAUCGAAUAUCUUUAGUUCGAUACUUUUUACUGUUAUAUGAACAGUGACUACUUUAUUUGAAAAGUAUUCUGAUUAUUUUAAUCAGUUUUCUGGAAAUUAUUGUCUGAGUUCUUUUACAGUUUGAACUGUUAUUGACACUGUAGUAGUGUUAUAUUGAUACUACAAUAUAUGCCUGGUCUUCUGUCCCAGACAUAAACCCUGGAUUUUUUAAAUAGCGAAAAUAGUUGUUUUGAUUCCUUUGAGCCGCAUUGCGGUGGAUUUUAAAACUAUACUCAGACUUUGAUGAAAUUGAUUUUGACAGCAUUUUGAAUUUGAAAACGGAAGAGUUUUCAGAAAGGUUUUGAAGGAUGAUAUUAUGGCAUAUGGGGCUAUUUAAUACUCCAGCCAAAUAGACCAGCAAAAUAUUGUUUUAAAAAUAGAUGAUUAGUCAUCUGCUUCUGGAAGAAAUCGGAAGAUUUCUUUGUUUUUGCGUAAGAGACCGGGACGGCGGUCCAGCGGAGGGCUAUCUAGGUAUUAUUGAAAUAUGAUAAUACUUUUCUGCCAAAGGCCAAUGUGUUGCCUUGUAUUGGUACCUGUUUUGAGACAUGCUUCUACGAAGUAUUGACUCGGUAUUAUCACACGGACUGAUCAGCUGUGAUAGUAUGCCGUUGUUUAAAACCUGGUCAUUAUUAUUUAAGCUUAUGAUAGCUUAUGUUUACUGUCAAAUUUAUCUGGUAAUUUUCAAGCAUAUUGAUUUAUAUGUUUGAUAUACUUUUGAGUUACAACUCUUCAGAUUAUUUUAGAAAUUGUUUUAUUUUAAAUACUCUGAUUUAAUUCAAAAGAAAUUAUAUCUUGUGGCUCUUGCCUUUUAUAUUAUCUUGCUGAGCAUUUUCGCUCACUCUUGCUAUUAUUUCUAACCCUUUCAGCUAGGGAUUAAGAAGGUAACCUGCAUAAACUGCGCGUAAGACUUAUGCUAGGCGAGAUUUCCAGGGAGAUGUCUGUGAGAAUGGCUAUGGUUAGAGUUGAUUUAUUUCAAUUCAGUUGUAGAUUGAUUUAUUUAUUUGGUUAUCAGUUACUCUUCUUAUCGAGGUUUAACUGAUAAUGUAGUUUAAGUUGUAAUAAGAUUUGAUAGUUUGGUUUCUGAUUUCGAUACUAUAACCUAUUAGCGAUCCUAUUUUUAGGGGGUCAAAGUGAUUUUGAUUUAAAUCCUUUUUAAAAUAUCCAGAUUUUCAAAUAUCUGUUUUACCUUCUUCCGCAAAAUACAGGUUUUUAAAUGAUUUUCUUUUAGUGGCACCAAAUCCAGACCCCCGGAUUUGAGGGAUGUCACAAACAUAUAUUAAUAAGAUGAUAUCAUUUAUAUUUAAUUGUAUUUUUUGAUGAAUAAUAAUAUUAAUUUAAUAUAUCAAAAUAUUGUCAUUACCUCUAUUCCUAACAAUUUACUUUUAUCAUUAAGAUAAAUUACAUUCUAAAAUAAUUAAAUUACCUCUACAAUUUUAUAUUAAUUGUUAAUAAUUUUAAUUUAAUUAGAAUUCAUGUUAGUUAUUGUCAAAGUUAUAUUUCAUGUACUUUUCCUGUCAAUCAAUCUAAACGGAAAUAACAAGGUUAAUCACAAGUAUUUUUUACUAUAUUUUUAUUUCGGAAAUGACAUUUUUUCAUAUCAUACUCCCUCAGGAAAUAACAAGAUCUAAUCAAGUAUUUUUUACCACAUUUCAUUUCAGAAAUGACAUUUCUUCGUACCACUCCCUCGAGAAAUAACAAGAUCCACCUGUAUUUCUUUCCACCAUACUUUAUUCUCGAAAUAACAAUGUCAAACAAUGUCAAUGGGAUGUUAUCAAAACUUGAAUUUAGCUCAUUUAAGAUAUGAUUUAAAAUCAAAUAUAAUUUAUAAAUUUAAUAAAUUUUAUACUCAAACAAGCGACAUGACAAAAAAAAAACUUGAACUGGAUAACAAACUCUACGAAAAUUUACCAUUUAGUGCAUCUUUUAUUGAAAACAAAGAGGUGUAAAAAGACACAGAAAUAUUAAAAUGUGUUUUGUGAUCAACUUUAAAACUAACAUCAAUGUGAAAAGAAUAAUAUUAGCGACAAAUGUUGUUCACAAGUGUUUAAGCACAACAACAUUAAGGCAGGAAAGGGAAACAAAGCUACAAUUACAGGAAAGUUUCACAUAUGAAGUCUUAAACACUUUGAGCAAAGUCUGCAGUCGAAUCGGCACCAGCAUUGCUUGCAUAAGGUUCUCUGUACCACUGAUUAGGUUCGCGAGUAAUAAAGCUGGCUUCUG